rnacentral:rRNA from 1 species
UGGGGAAUUUUGGACAAUGGGCGAAAGCCUGAUCCAGCAAUGCCGCGUGCAGGGAAGAAGGCCUUCGGGUUGUAAACUGCUUUUGUACGGAACGAAAAGGCUCUUUCUAAUAAAGAGGGCCCAUGACGGUACCGUAAGAAUAAGCACCGGCUAACUACGUGCCAGCAGCCGCGGUAAUACGUAGGGUGCGAGCGUUAAUCGGAAUUACUGGGCGUAAAGCGUGCGCAGGCGGUUCUAUAAGACAGAUGUGAAAUCCCCGGGCUCAACCUGGGAAUGGCAUUUGUGACUGUAGAGCUAGAGUACGGUAGAGGGGGAUGGAAUUCCGCGUGUAGCAGUGAAAUGCGUAGAUAUGCGGAGGAACACCGAUGUCGAAGGCAAUCCCCCUGGACCUGUACUGACGCUCAUGCACGAAAGCGUGGGGAGCAAACAGGAUUAGAUACCCGUGUAGUCCCUGAGCGGGCUGGCAAGGCGCAU